rnacentral:misc_RNA from 1 species
GAUGAAGAACGCAGCGAAAUGCGAUACGUAGUGUGAAUUGCAGAAUUCCGUGAAUCAUCGAAUCUUUGAACACAAAUUGUACUUUCCAGUAUUCUGGGAAGUAUGCUUGGUUGAGGGUCAUUAAAAUAACAUUCGUGAAUUUUUUUGCGGAUUUGAGUUUUCCAGUAUUUAUAAAAAUGUUGGUAACUUUAAAAUUAUUAUUACUUGGUACAAGUUGAAAACGUUCUAUAUGUGUGGUUCGCUGACAACUUGUCCAUCAUCAUAUAUUAUGCGCGCACUUGGUUUUUUACGCUCUGUACGAGUAUAUAUUUUUUUUUAUGACCUCAGCUCAAGUAAGAAUACCCGCUGAACUUAAGCAUAUCAAUAAGCGGAGGA